rnacentral:lncRNA from 1 species
GACAAGUUGCAGAGGAACAGAGGAAGAAGACGAAUAGGAAAAGCAACGAAAAAUGAGAAACCGACCACAGUGACCCUCGACUUUUUAUUUAUUUAUUUUGGGUUGUAUCCAUAUUAACCUGGUUCUAUUUAGAAAAUUUUAUCAUAUAUCUAAAAAUUAUUCAUUCACCCCUACAUUUUACAUAAAUUCACUAUUAUAUCAUUGUAAAAAUAGUAUUCCAUAUGAUUUUAUUUAUAAUAUUUUUUUU